UGUAAGCGUAUACCAAAGUUGUUGCAGUUAAAACGCUCGUAGUCGGAAUUUGGCAGUUCCGGAUGUGUGCACGUCGUGUGCGCACUUCGCGGGGAUUGCUUUUGAGGUCUUGCGUAGGAUGAGGCACUUUUAUUAGUGAACGUCCUCACGCAACCAUUUUUUACUGUGAGAAAAUCAGAGUGCUCAAAGCAGGCAUUUGCCGUGAAUGUAUUAGCAUGGAAUAAUAGAAUAGGACUUGGUUCUAUUUUGUUGGUUUGUUGGGACUGAGUAAUGAUUAAGAGGGACAGUUGGGGGCAUUUGUAUUUCGGUGCUAGAGGUGAAAUUCUUAGAUUACCGAAAGACAAACUGCUGCGAAAGCGUCUGCCAAGGAUGUUUUCAUUGA
rnacentral:rRNA from 1 species